AUUGAACGCUGGCGGCAUGCCUUACACAUGCAAGUCGAACGGCAGCAUGGAGGAGCUUGCUCCUCUGAUGGCGAGUGGCGAACGGGUGAGUAAAGCAUCGGAACGUACCGUGUAGUGGGGAUAACGUAGCGAAAGUUACGCUAAUACCGCAUACGCACUGAGGUGGAAAAGCAGGGGAUCGCAAGACCUUGCGCUAUACGAGCGGCCGAUGUCAGAUUAGCUAGUUGGUAGGGUAAAGGCCUACCAAGGCGACGAUCUGUAGCGGGUCUGAGAGGAUGGUCCGCCACACUGGGACUGAGACACGGCCCAGACUCCUACGGGAGGCAGCAGUGGGGAAUUUUGGACAAUGGGGGAAACCCUGAUCCAGCCAUGCCGCGUGAGUGAAGAAGGCCUCGG
rnacentral:rRNA from 1 species